rnacentral:tRNA from 1 species
GGGCCCGAAGCCGUACUCAUAAUCCGUUGGUCGCAGGUUCGAAUCCUGCCGGGCCCA